CCUACGGGAGGCAGCAGUGAGGAAUAUUGGUCAAUGGGCGCGAGUCUGAACCAGCCAAGUCGCGUGAGGGAAGACGGCCCUACGGGUUGUAAACCUCUUUUGCCGGGGAGCAACGGGCGCCACGUGUGGCGCCACUGAGAGUACCCGGAGAAAAAGCAUCGGCUAACUCCGUGCCAGCAGCCGCGGUAAUACGGAGGAUGCGAGCGUUAUCCGGAUUUAUUGGGUUUAAAGGGUGCGCAGGCGGCCUGUUAAGUCAGCGGUAAAAGCCCGGGGCUCAACCCCGGCGAGCCGUUGAAACUGGCGGGCUGGAGUUGGAGAGAAGUACGCGGAAUGCGCGGUGUAGCGGGGAAAUGCUGAGAUAGCGCGCAGAACCCCGAUUGCGAAGGCAGCGUACCGGCUCCACACUGACGCUGAGGCACGAAAGCGUGGGUAUCGAACAGGAUUAGAUACCCCAGUAGUC
rnacentral:rRNA from 1 species